GGACAACAGAGGACGAGAUAGUUGGACAGUGUCAUCGAAGCUACCAACAUGAAUUUGACCCAACUCCGGGAGGCAGUAGAAGACAGGAGGGCCUAGCAUGCUCUGGUCUAUGAGGUCACAAAGCAUCGGACAUGACUUAACAACAACAACUUUUUGAAGAGAUUCUGAGAGUUGUGGUCCAAAAAGGAACUUUCCCCAUCUCUGGCUUAUCUUUAUGUUUCUACUACCUUACCAGAGGGGUAGGCAAUUCCAUUGGUUUUGGGACCUACAACCACCAGAACACUUCAAGAUACGCCAUUCCCUCCCAUGCUGCCACCACUGAUUAGCAGUGCCUGUACGGGUGCAGUGUCCUCCCACACCAUGGAGACCUGUGAGAUUGUAGGGCAGGGCAAAACAUCUUUCCCAUUUGCUAAAUAAACCAGGAAGGGAAAGCCCAAGCCUUUAUGGGCAGUUUGGAUAGAUGGAGCAGCUGAUAAAAAGAGUGGAUAUAAAAAGAAGGGUCAAGGGCCCCAUUUGGUCCAUGAGCUGCAUGGGUGAUUUAACUGUUAACAAAACAAACAGGUGCUUGGGGAAAACAAGAAGGCACAUCAGCAGAAUUCCAGGAAGACUGCUAAAUAAGUCAAGGAACAGACUGGCUAUACUAUUCUGCUGAAGGCAACUUGUAAGAAAACCCAUCAAAAACAGCCUGUGUUGAUCCUUGGAAACAUCACAUGCACAAUAAUACAACAACUGGAAAAGUGGCAACUAAGGAAUUAGAUAUUUGUAGCUCUUCUUUCUUUACAUAUAUACACAUUGCAAUAAAAAUAAUUUUAUUUUGGUUGUUUGGUGGAAG
rnacentral:lncRNA from 1 species